GUUGUAUUACCUCCAUCCCAAAAAGUUUGUCUUAGAUUUAUGUAAAUAUGGGUGAAUCUAACACUAAAAUGUGUCUAGGUACAUCUGUAUGUAGACAAAUCUAAGACAAACUUUUAGGGACGGAGGUAGUAUAAG
rfam:Triticum aestivum genome assembly, contig: Triticum_aestivum_CS42_TGACv1_scaffold_559024_7AL